UACGGGGGGAGCAAGCGUUGUUCGGAUUUACUGGGCGUAAAGGGCGCGUAGGCGGCCACCGCAAGUCGACUGUGAAAUCUCCGGGCUUAACCCGGAGCGGUCAAGUGAUACUGUCGUGCUAGAGUGCGGAAGGGGCUACUGGAAUUCUCGGUGUAGCGGUGAAAUGCGUAGAUAUCGAGAGGAACACCUGAGGUGAAGACGGGUUGCUGGGCUGACACUGACGCUGAGGCGCGAAAGCUAGGGUAGCAAACGGG
rnacentral:rRNA from 1 species